GACGAACGCUGGCGGCGUGCUUAACACAUGCAAGUCGAACGGAAAGGUCCUGCGUUUGUGGGGUGCUCGAGUGGCGAACGCGUGAGUAACACGUGAGUAACCUGCCCUUGACUUUCGGAUAACUUCAGGAGACUGGGGCUAAUACCGGAUAGGAGCUCCCGCUGCACGGUGUGGGUUGGUAAGUUUCGGCUGUUCGGGAUGGACUCGCGGCUUAUCAGCUUGUUGGUGGGGUAGUGGCUUACCAAGGCUUUGACGGGUAGCCGGCAUGAGAGGGUGAACGGCCACAUUGGGACUGAGAUACGGCGCAGACUCCUACGGGAGGCAGCAGUGGGGAAUAUUGCACAAUGGGCGGAAGCCUGAUGCAGCAACGCCGCGUGCGGGAUGACGGCUUUCGGGGUGUAAACAGCUUUCGCCUGUGACGAAGCGUGAGUGACGGUAAUGGGUAAAGAAGCACCGGCUAACUACGUG
rnacentral:rRNA from 1 species